rnacentral:rRNA from 1 species
UACGUAGGGGGCAAGCGUUGUCCGGAAUCAUUGGGCGUAAAGAGCGUGUAGGCGGCUCGAUAAGUCCGCUGUGAAAGUCCAGGGCUCAACCCUGGAAGGCCGGUGGAAACUGUCGGGCUAGAGUCCGGAAGAGGCGAGUGGAAUUCCUGGUGUAGCGGUGAAAUGCGCAGAUAUCAGGAGGAACACCGAUGGCGAAGGCAGCUCGCUGGGCCACUACUGACGCUGAGAAGCGAAAGCAUGGGGAGCGAACAGG